AAAGAAGAAUCAAGAGGAAAAAUUUGCUUUUCCAUGUGUAAGGAGAUGGUACAAAGACAUAAUAAUAAAAAAAAAGCAAGGUUUUAGUUUCUCACCAAGAAGGCAGGAAUAGUAAUGCUGAGCCUUUAGAGGGGAAAUUAUGAUGAUAGCUGCCACUGAAGAUGCUGCUGCUGGUGAUAAUGAUGACAACUGUUGAUGGUGGUGAGGAUAUCUAACAUUUAUUUCAUGUUUGUCCUGUGUUAGACUAGGGUUAGAAGCAGCUGUGUAGGUGGUUGGCAUGCUGUGUGGAGUCUGG
rnacentral:lncRNA from 1 species